rnacentral:lncRNA from 1 species
UUUUAUAUAUCAAUUGUAAUUUAAAAGGUACAAUACGUUAAUUUCAAACAGGAAUGCAAGUCCAAAAAAGAGAUCAUUGUCAAUGCUUUUUCAUUUUAUAAAAAAAAUAUUUAUCAUGUUAAUAGGGAUGGCAAUUAGUCGAGUCUAUAUAUGUGUAUGAUUUAUUCAACAAGUGAUGCUUGAACUUCUAUAUGUAUCAUUUAGGGAUUUUUAAUUUUAUGUCUGUAAUAUAUGUCGUUGCAACUUACAUUGCACUGGAAAUCAUUUUGGAUUUAUAUAUAUGCAUUUUAUGGUUGCUUACUGCUAUCUUCAGUUCAAUUUACUAGCUUAUUAUUAGCUGAGACAAAAUGUAAACGAUUGGCCGCUUAAUUUGAAGCAACAUGACGGUUGUAUCAAGUUCUAUCAUUUUUCCAGUUUGGUCUCUAUAGAAUUUAUAAAAU